CGGCGAACGGGUGAGUAACACGUGGGUGACCUGCCCUUAGCUCUGGGAUAAGCCUGGGAAACUGGGUCUAAUACCGGAUAUGACUCCAUGACGCAUGUUGUGGGGUGGAAAGCCUUGUGCGGCUAGGGAUGGGCCCGCGGCCUAUCAGCUUGUUGGUGGGGUAAUGGCCUACCAAGGCGACGACGGGUAGCCGGCCUGAGAGGGCGACCGGCCACACUGGGACUGAGACACGGCCCAG
rnacentral:rRNA from 1 species